GCUGAGCAGCAUUUGAUAACUAGGUUAUCAUCUCACCCAUGGUCUGCUGAACCGACCAGUUCCGGUCGGUUUAGCCCGUACCGGACCGGUACCGAUAGGCACCAGUCCAGUACCAAGGUAGAAAUCGGUUUCGACCCAAUCUGGAUUGGGUCCGAACCAAUCGGUUCAAGGGCCGUACUGGUCAAACUGGCUCGUUCGCACCGGUAUAGGGGAGUUUAUCAAGCGCGUAGCUACAACCACGCGCUAAGUGCCCACGUUGUGGCAUUUUUGAAAGUGCCACAGCGCCAAGAAUGGCACUUUCAAAAGUGCCACGCAAAGUACGCGGUGCCAAUCGUACCGACGUACCAGUAGACAUCGGUAUCGGUAGGCACCGAGCCGAAUCGGUACCGUACCGAUGGGGCUGGUUUGGCCUGGUUUCGACCCCG
rnacentral:lncRNA from 1 species